rnacentral:lncRNA from 1 species
UGGAGGAGUCACUGGAGGCUUUGGUGGUGGAAGAGUUGGUGGUGCUGGUGGCAUUAUUGGAGGAGUCACUGGAGGCUUUGGUGGUGGAAGAGUUGGUGGUGUUGGUGGUGUUGGUGGCAUUAUUGGAGGAGUCACUGGAGGCUUUGGUGGUGGAAGAGUUGGUGGUGUUGGUGGCAUUAUUGGAGGAGUCACUGGAGGCUUUGGUGGUGGAAGAGUUGGUGGUGUUGGUGGCUUUAUUGGAGGAGUCACUGGAGGCUUUGGUGGUGGAAGAGUUGGUGGUGGAAGAGCUGGAGGUGUUGGUGGCUUUAUUGGAGGAAUCACUGGAGGCUUUGGUGGUGGAAGAGCUGGUGGUGUUGGUGGCAGAACUGGUGGUUUGGGCACAUAUGGUGGUUUUGGUAUGAAGGGCGGAUGCACAAUGGGUGGUUUCGGUUUGAAGGGCGGAUGCACAAUGGGUGGUUUCGGUUUGAAGGGCGGAUGCACAAUGGGUGGUUUCGGUGUAUAGGGCGGAUGCACAAUGGGUGGUUUCGGUUUAAACGGGGGAUGUACAAUGGGAGGUUUGGGAACAACAGGCGGCUUAGGUGGGUGGGGUUUGGGGGGUUUAGGGUCAUGGGGUGGCUUUACUGUGGGAG